ACUCCUACGGGAGGCAGCAGUGGGAAUAUUGGACAAUGGGCGAAAGCCUGAUCCAGCCAUGCCGCGUGUGUGAAGAAGGCCUUUUGGUUGUAAAGCACUUUAAGCGAGGAGGAGGCUACUGAGAUUAAUACUCUUGGAUAGUGGACGUUACUCGCAGAAUAAGCACCGGCUAACUCUGUGCCAGCAGCCGCGGUAAUACAGAGGGUGCGAGCGUUAAUCGGAUUUACUGGGCGUAAAGCGCAUGCAGGUGGUUUGUUAAGUCAGAUGUGAAAGCCCGGGGCUCAACCUCGGAAUAGCAUUUGAAACUGGCAGACUAGAGUACUGUAGAGGGGUGAGAAUUUCAGGUGUAGCGGUGAAAUGCGUAGAGAUCUGAAGGAAUACCGGUGGCGAAGGCGGCCCCUGCGCAGAUACUGACACUCAGAUGCGAAAGCGUGGGGAGCAAACAGGAUUAGAUACCCUGGUAGGCUCU
rnacentral:rRNA from 1 species